AGCUGCAAACAGCUGUUUGCUCAGUAAAAUGCAGCCUGCUCUCCCACGGGCUGGCGUCACCGCAGGGCUGGAGGUUCGCUGCGUCCCAAACGGACACCGGGAGGGCAGAGGGCAGUGUGGGGGCACCUCUGCUGCCUCUGCAAGAAGGAUUGAGAUGCCACAGCUGGGGCAGGAUCCUCCUGCUCUAUGUGAGCUGUUGCUGUUGCUCUGCACCUUUCAGAUGAAGCUCAGGCAGGAUGAGGAGAAGUGGCUUUUCUUCCUUCCAGAUCAGCUGAAAACAGCGUUACAGCUGGAGCAAAAAGAGGAGCCUGGGAAGAAGCAGGCAGGGUACAACAUGCACCGGCUGCAGGGGAAUAAGCAGUACGGCACGGAGAAGACGGGGACCCUCCUCAAGAAAAGCGAGGGGUUCAGAAAAGUCUGGCAGAAGAGGAAAUGCACCAUCAGCAAUGGCUACUUGACCAUCUCUCACAGCAUGCCCAACUGCCCACCAGCCAAGCUGAAUUUACUGACCUGCCAGGUGAAGCCGAACACGGAUGACAAGAAAUCCUUUGAUGUGGUUUCCCACAACCGCACAUACCGCUUCCUGGCAGAGGACGAGCAGGACUGCUUGGUCUGGGUGUCCGUCCUCAGCAACAGCAAGAAGGAGGCACUGAACGUGGCCUUCAGCAAUGCGCAGGGCGAAGGGGAGCACAGCCAGGAGGAGCUGACCCGGGCUAUCAUUGAAGAGGUCAGAGCCAUGCCAGGGAACAGGGAGUGCUGUGACUGCUUGGCCCCAGAUCCCACUUGGCUAUCCGUGAACUUGGGCAUCCUGAUUUGCAUCAAGUGCUCUGGGAUUCACAGAGAGAUGGGUGUGCAUCUUUCCCGCAUCCAGUUGCUGUCUCUAGACAAGCUGGCAACCUCAGAACUGCUGCUGGCGAGGAAUAUCAGCAACUCUGGCUUCAAUGACAUCAUGGAAGCAAAUCUCCCCAGCUCUUCCCUGAAGCCCACGGUGCACAGUGACAUGGCUUUUCGGAAAACUUUCAUAAUUUCCAAGUAUGUUGAGAAGAAAUACACAAAGAGGAGCUCUGUGUCCUGGUGCUCCAGCCUCCCAGAAGCUGUCAAGGCCAAGGACAUAUUUUCUUUGCUCCAAGCGUACGCGGAGAAUGUGGAUUUGAGCGAGACCGUGCUGUCACCGCUGCAGGAACACGGGGAGACCCUCCUCCACCUGGCAGUGCUGUUGUCUGAUAGAACCUCUUUGCAUAUUGUUGAUUUUCUUGUCCAGAACAGUGGGAGCCUGGCAAAGCAGACAGCAGAGGGGAACACGCCACUUCACUACUGCUGCUCUCACAACAGACCUGAGUGUGUCAAACUGCUGCUGAAGGCCAAAGCCAACAUCGCCAUCACCAACAAAGCAGGAGAGACAGCCCUGGAUGUUGCCAGGAAGAUGAGACAUCCCCUGUGUGAAGAGCUGCUGCUGCAGGUGCAGAACAACCGGUUCAACCCCAAUGUCCAUGUGGAGUAUGAGUGGUGGUUGGGCCAAGACAACAUGUAUGAAAGUGAUGAAGACCUGGAUAAGAAGCUGGGUGCUGUGAAGAGGGGCUCUGCCCAUCCCCGGAGCAGCUGCCACAGCCCGGCCACUGACCCCAGGCUGGAGGCAGUGGCCUGGGGUGGGUGGCCAGAUGCCUGUGCCCUGCCAGCUGCCCACCUCCGCAGCCUGGACAUACCACCUCCCCCCUCCUACGCUCCUCCAUUCCCACCCCAGGUGCCAGGUGCCCUGAAAGCCAUGGACCUUCUCUGCACGCCUGGCCUCAGCAGAGUGGGACAGCCUGGCCCACACCGAUCUGUCCAGGAGCCAGAUCCAUGUUCUGGUCAUGUCCAGGAUGUCCCAUAUCUUCCUCGGAGGAGUAGUUUGGGAGCCUCCCAGUCUCUCAUCCUGGCUCCUCACAUGUUUGACAUCGGCUUUGGGAUCCAAACAACAGAGUUAAUUUGCAUCAAACAAAACCGAGAAGGCCUGACGAUGCGCUCUCCUGCUUGCAGAACAGGCUGCUGCUCCGCAGGGUCUGCGCUCUCUAUGACUGCGAUGCUGACCAGGAAGAUGAGCUGACUUUCCGCACAGGCGAGAUCAUUGUGGUGUCUGAAAAGGAGGACAGUAACUGGUGGAAAGGGUGGAUUGAAGGACAGCCUCACAGGCGAGGUGUCUUCCCUGCUUCAUUCGUUCACGUUCUCAAUGAGUAGGAGCUGCCAUUAUUCAAGAAGAAAGAUCUGAUCAGCUGCUUAAAAUGCAAUUCCCCAAGCUUC